AUGAGAACUCCAGCCUAUCAUGAUGCCAAAGAAAUCAAGGAUGCCAUUAAGGAUACGGGAGCAGGAACAGAUGAGAAAUGUUUGAUUGAAAUUCUCGCUUCAAGAACCAAUGAGCAGAUUCAUAAUCUGGUGGCAGCAUACAAAGAUGCAUAUGGAAGAGACCUUGAAGAGGAUGUUAUAGGGGACC